GACGAACGCUGGCGGCGUGCUUAACACAUGCAAGUCGAACGGAAAGGCCCUGCUUUUGUGGGGUGCUCGAGUGGCGAGCGGGUGAGUAACACGUGAGUAACCUGCCCUUGACUUUGGGAUAACUUCAGGAAACUGGGGCUAAUACCGGAUAGGAGCUCCUGCUGCAUGGUGGGGGUUGGAAAGUUUCGGCGGUUGGGGAUGGACUCGCGGCUUAUCAGCUUGUUGGUGGGGUAGUGGCUUACCAAGGCUUUGACGGGUAGCCGGCCUGAGAGGGUGACCGGCCACAUUGGGACUGAGAUACGGCCCAGACUCCUACGGGAGGCAGCAGUGGGGAAUAUUGCACAAUGGGCGGAAGCCUGAUGCAGCAACGCCGCGUGCGGGAUGACGGCCUUCGGGUUGUAAACCGCUUUCGCCUGUGACGAAGCGUGAGUGACGGUAAUGGGUAAAGAAGCACCGGCUAACUACGUGCCAGCAGCCGCGGUGAUACGUAGGGUGCGAGCGUUGUCCGGAUUUAUUGGGCGUAAAGGGCUCGUAGGUGGUUGAUCGCGUCGGAAGUGUAAUCUUGGGGCUUAACCCUGAGCGUGCUUUCGAUACGGGUUGACUUGAGGAAGGUAGGGGAGAAUGGAAUUCCUGGUGGAGCGGUGGAAUGCGCAGAUAUCAGGAGGAACACCAGUGGCGAAGGCGGUUCUCUGGGCCUUUCCUGACGCUGAGGAGCGAAAGCGUGGGGAGCGAACAGGCUUAGAUACCCUGGUAGUCCACGCUGUAAACGGUGGGUACUAGGUGUGGGGUCCAUUCCACGGGUUCCGUGCCGUAGCUAACGCUUUAAGUACCCCGCCUGGGGAGUACGGCCGCAAGGCUAAAACUCGAAGGAAUUGACGGGGCCCCGCACAAGCGGCGGAGCAUGCGGAUUAAUUCGAUGCAACGCGUAGAACCUUACCUGGGUUUGACAUGGAUCGGGAGUGCUCAGAGAUGGGUGUGCCUCUUUUGGGGUCGGUUCACAGGUGGUGCAUGGCUGUCGUCGGCUCGUGUCGUGAGAUGUUGGGUUAAGUCCCGCAACGAGCGCAACCCUUGUUCACUGUUGCCAGCACGUUAUGGUGGGGACUCAGUGGAGACCGCCGGGGUCAACUCGGAGGAAGGUGGGGAUGACGUCAAGUCAUCAUGCCCCUUAUGUCCAGGGCUUCACGCAUGCUACAAUGGCUGGUACAGAGAGUGGCGAGCCUGUGAGGGUGAGCGAAUCUCGGAAAGCCGGUCUCAGUUCGGAUUGGGGUCUGCAACUCGACCUUAUGAAGUCGGAGUCGCUAGUAAUCGCAGAUCAGCAACGCUGCGGUGAAUACGUUCCCGGG
rnacentral:rRNA from 1 species